rnacentral:tRNA from 1 species
GAAAAUAGCUCAAUGGUAGGGCGCCUUGUCAGAUGAUAAGGAAGUUAAAGGUUCGAUUCCUUUAUUUUCA